ACCUUAGUGACCAACUAAGUUUAUUCUGGGUAUAAGCUUACGUGUGAAAUAGUGUUUCAGUGUAUCUGAAGAAGUGUGUAUACACACAAAAGCUUAUGCCCAGAACAAACUUAGUUGGUCUCUAAGGU